GACGAACGCUGGCGGCGUGCUUAACACAUGCAAGUCGAACGGAAAGGCCCUGCUUUUGUGGGGUGCUCGAGUGGCGAACGGGUGAGUAACAAGUGAGUAACCUGCCCUUGACUUUGGGAUAACUUCAGGAAACUGGGGCUAAUACCGGAUAGGAGCUCCUGCUGCAUGGUGGGGGUUGGAAAGUUUCGGCGGUUGGGGAUGGACUCGCGGCUUAUCAGCUUGUUGGUGGGGUAGUGGCUUGCCAAGGCUUUGACGGGUAGCCGGCCUGAGAGGGUGACCGGCCACAUUGGGACUGAGAUACGGCUCAGACUCCUACGGGAGGCAUCAGUGGGGAAUAUUGCACAAUGGGCGGAAGCCUGAUGCAGCAACGCCGCGUGCGGGAUGACGGCCUUCGGGUUGUAAACCGCUUUCGCCUGUGACGAAGCGUGAGUGACGGUAAUGGGUAAAGAAGCACCGGCUAACUACGUG
rnacentral:rRNA from 1 species